UACGUAGGGCGCAAGCGUUAUCCGGAAUUAUUGGGCGUAAAGAGCUCGUAGGCGGCCUGUUGCGUCCGCUGUGAAAGCCCGGGGCUUAACCCCGGGUCGGCAGUGGAUACGGGCAGGCUAGAGGUAGGUAGGGGAGAAUGGAAUUCCCGGUGUAGCGGUGAAAUGCGCAGAUAUCGGGAGGAACACCGGUGGCGAAGGCAGCUCGCUGGGACGGUACGUGACGCUGAGACGCGAAAGCGUGGGGAGCAAACAGGG
rnacentral:rRNA from 1 species